CUUGAUUAGCAGACAUAUUUAUUCACAAUAAAAUAAAAGUUCACUGGUAAUUCCAGCCAUAAAGAAUUACACAUGAUGGUUCAAAAAUCCAAUGAAAUAUUCUAAGUUCACAAGUAAUACUAAAUUAUUGAAUCAACUACGUAAGACAUCCAUCCAGUUUAAGAACAUGGCGACUACUACCUCUCUAACCAUAUGGGUGACUCUCAGAACGAGAUUUCCUGCCCAUAAUUCUCAAUUAGGUUUCACUUUCACGUGAAACACAACCAAAAGUUCUACUUCGUGAUUCUCACUAAUUCAUGUCACAAACAAUGAUGUGACAAUGGACAAAUGAAAUACUUGAAUAGCUGGACACGAAACUGGAACUAGGAUAAGGAUUUAAUGUUGAGAAAUCAAAGGAAAUACGGAAACAUUCAUUGCAUGAAAUGUUUAAUAGUUGUCAACAGUUUAUAUUAUAAAACAAGAAAUAUAUAAAAUAUAAAAAGACAAUAUCUUCUUUAAUCCAAAUUAUAGAGCGAUUAAUUUUGCUCUUAAUAACUUACGAAGGUUAAAUUAAAACAAAAAAGAUUUUUUUUCUUUUUCUACAUUUAAAAAUAAUAACGGUCAAACUAGAUUCCCAGUGUG